rnacentral:miRNA from 1 species
UCUAGAGGCUGCAGAGGGCAUCUGCUUCUUGCCUGGUACUGGGAUGCCCUCUGUUGCUUAGAGA